rnacentral:rRNA from 1 species
UACAGAGGGUGCAAACGUUGCUCGGAAUUAUUGGGCGUAAAGCGCACGUAGGCGGUUUGGUAAGUUGGAUGUGAAAACCCUGGGCUCAACCCUGGAAGUGCAUCCAAGACUGUCAAGCUAGAGUGUCGGAGGGGGUCGGAGAAUUCCCGGUGUAGAGGUGAAAUUCGUAGAUAUCGGGAGGAACAUCUGUGGCGAAGGCGCCGACCUGGACGACAACUGACGCUGAGGUGCGAAAGCAUGGGGAGCAAACAGGAUUAGAAACCCCCGUAGUCC